rnacentral:sRNA from 1 species
UAGUGCAUAAUGAUCUCACUACAUAAAAAAAUCUAUCUUACGAUUCAACUAUAUUUAGUCCCAUGCACUCGCUGCAUAACACAUUACUUUCUUCGAUUUAGAAUGAAGACGGCAAGAGAUGCAGCAAAUCUCAUUUAUGAUCUAUCUGAAGAAUCAGCGUCAUCGAUUUGGAGACUCGAACCAUAACAAAAAGAGCAUCACAGUUUCAAUUUAAUUGCUCCUGGCGCUUCCUAUUUCAGCAACAAACAUUAAAUAAUUAAUCCAAUAGAGAUGAUAUAUAUGGAAAUUUCAAAACCAAAAAAAGAAACUUUCAAAACCAAAAUUGCGAAGCCAUAGAAAUCGUGGAUCAUGGAAUUGCGAAGACCAAUGUUGACAUAUGGGAAUUUGGUGUCCCAAUGAGCAGAGAUCACUAAGAUUGGUUUUCGGGAGGAACUUUUUGAGUUCAUGAUUUGAAGAAUUGUCUCGCCUAUAAGCUAUCGUCCAUAGUUUGAGAUUCAUGCGACAAGAAGAAGGUUUGAUUCACUUUCUCCAUUUAAUUGAAUCAUCUUCAUAGAUAUAUUUUCAUACUUAAUCAAUGUUUUUACCAAAAAAAUAAUGUUAUUUUAUUAUUUUGGUUUUAUGUGGUUUGGGAUUGG